CUGCCCCUAGGUUGGGUAUAAACCCGGGAAACUGGGUAUAAUACCCGAUAGGUCCUCGAUGCUGGAAUGCAUCGAGAUUUAAAGCUCCGGCGCCUAAGGAUGGGUCUGCGGCCCUAUCAGGUAGUAGUGGGUGUAGCGUACCUACUAGCCUACGACGGGUACGGGUUGUGAGAGCAAGAGCCCGGAGAUGGAUUCUGAGACACGAAUCCAGGCCCUACGGGGUGCAGCAGGCGCGAAAACUUUACAAUGCUGGCAACAGCGAUAAGGGAACCUCGAGUGCCAGGUUACAAAUCUGGCUGUCGAGAUGCCUAAAAAGCAUUUCAUAGCAAGGGCCGGGCAAGACCGGUGCCAGCCGCCGCGGUAACACCGGCGGCUCGAGUGGUAACCGUUAUUAUUGGGUCUAAAGGGUCUGUAGCCGGCCGGAUAAGUCUCUUGAGAAAUCUGGCAGCUUAACUGUCAGGCUUUCAGGAGAUACUGUCUGGCUCGAGGCCGGGAGAGGUGAGAGGUACUUCAGGGGUAGGGGUGAAAUCUUGUAAUCCUUGAAGGACCACCAGUGGCGAAGGCGUCUCACCAGAACGGACCUGACGGCAAGGGACGAAAGCUAGGGGCACGAACCGGAUUAGAUACCCGGGUAGUCCUAGCCGUAAACGAUACUCGCUAGGUGUCGGCCACGGUGCGACCGUUGUCGGUGCCGUAGGGAAGCCGUGAAGCGAGCCACCUGGGAAGUACGGCCGCAAGGCUGAAACUUAAAGGAAUUGGCGGGGGAGCACCACAACGGGUGGAGCUUGCGGUUUAAUUGGAUUCAACGCCGGAAAUCUUACCGGGACCGACAGCAAUAUGAAGGCCAGGCUGAAGACUUUGCCGGAUUAGCUGAGAGGUGGUGCAUGGCCGUCGUCAGUUCGUACUGUGAAGCAUCCUGUUAAGUCAGGCAACGAGCGAGACCCA
rnacentral:rRNA from 1 species